rnacentral:lncRNA from 1 species
AAACAUUAUCGUUAUGUCUGAAACCAAUGUACAUUUAAAGGAAAAAGACAUUCAACAAUAGGCAUCAGGUAAUUUAGAAAUUAUACAGUUUUCAUUUCAUUUGCGGAUUACAUUGUACCCUUUUCUGCGUAACUAUUAACCAACGCCAAAGCAUUGCUCGUAAACUUCUUCACUUUAGCCGCCCUCUUGCAGACCUCCGUCUUCAUUGGCCCAUCCGCCACAUCCUCGAAUCCGUCCGUACACGUCUCCUCAUCCGUCAAAGCCGCGCUCAUCCAUGUCUGGACAUUCCCCAUUUGGAACCUGAAAGACUCCGAACCUGGAGCCACCACCUGUUGCAUU